rnacentral:rRNA from 1 species
AACGAACGCUGGCGGCAUGCCUAACACAUGCAAGUCGAACGAGUCCUUCGGGUUUAGUGGCGCACUGGUGCGUAACGCGUGGGAACCUGCCCCUAGGUUCGGAAUAACUCCCCGAAAGGGGUGCUAAUACCAGAUAAUGUCUUCGGACCAAAGAUUUAUCGCCUUUGGAUGGGCCUGCGUUGGAUUAGCUAGUUGGUAGGGUAAAAGCCUAGCAAGGCGACGAUCCAUAGCUGGUCUGAGAGGAUGAUCAGCCACACUGGGACUGAGACACGGCCCAGACUCCUACGGGAGGCAGCAGUGGGGAAUAUUGGACAAUGGGCGAAGGCCUGAUCCAGCAAUGACGCGUGAGUGAUGAAGGCCUUAGGGUUGUAAAGCUCUUUUACCCGGGAUGAUAAUGACAGUACCGGGAGAAUAAGCUCCGGCUAACUCCGUG